rnacentral:rRNA from 1 species
AUUGAACGCUGGCGGCAGGCCUAACACAUGCAAGUCGAACGAGUGGCGGACGGGUGAGUAAUGUCUGGGAAACUGCCUGAUGGAGGGGGAUAACUACUGGAAACGGUAGCUAAUACAGCAUACCAUCAGAUAGGACCAGAUGGGAUUCGCUUGUUGGGGGGGUAAAGGCUAACCAAGGCGACGCUCCCUAGCUGGUCUGAGAGGAUGACCAGCCACAUGGGAACGGAGACACGGUCCAGACUCCUACGGGAGGCAGCAGUGGGGAAUAUUGCACAAUGGGCGCAAGCCUUAUGCAGCCAUGCCGCGUGUAUGAAGAAGGCCUUCGGGUUGUAAAGUACUUUCAGCGGGGAGGCGUUACCCGCAGAAGAAGCACCGGCUAACUCCGUGCCAGCAGCCGCGGUAAUUC